rnacentral:misc_RNA from 1 species
ACUAUCCAUUCUUCAGCAGCAGGUACACAAUUGCCAUUUGAAAGAGAAGGAGACUAAUAACACAGUGACGCUUCUGGAAAAUGAAUUGAAGGAGCUGCAGGGAAAGUUACACCUCUUAACUGAGGAUAACAAAGAGUUACAUGGAAAGCUAAUCGGUAAAGAUGAAGAAUUGAGAAAAUUAUCUACUGAAUGGGAAUUGUUGGCUUGUGAGAUAGCAGAAAUUCUUGCGGAUGGGCAAGAAGCACUUACUGAUGCAUCUGAUCAGCUUGACCUUAUCUCCAGUACCUUUCCACAUAAAAGGAUUUGG